rnacentral:rRNA from 1 species
UGAACGCUGGCGGCGUGCUUAACACAUGCAAGUCGAACGAGAAAGGGAUUGCUUGCAAUCCUGAGUAGAGUGGCGCACGGGUGAGUAACACGUAGAUAAUCUACCUUCAAGCCCGGGAUAACUAUUCGAAAGGAUAGCUAAUACCGGAUAAAGUAUAUUGAUAUAAGUUGAUAUAUGAAAGAUAGCCUCUUCUUGAAAGCAAUUGUUUGGAGAUGAGUUUGCGGACCAUUAGUUAGUUGGUGGGGUAAAGGCCUACCAAGACAGCGAUGGUUAGCUGGUCUGAGAGGAUGAUCAGUCACACUGGAACUGGAACACGGUCCAGACUCCUACGGGAGGCAGCAGUGAGGAAUUUUGCGCAAUGGGGGAAACCCUGACGCAGCAACGCCGCGUGAGUGAAGAAGGCCUUUGGGUCGUAAAGCUCUGUCAACAAGGAAGAAGUUAGGAUAUAUUAAUAGUAUAUUCUAUUGACGGUACUUGUGGAGGAAGCGCCGGCUAACUCC